AGAUGUUGUCGAUUUGAAAAUGUGUCGUUUCGUGGGAAUCAUCCUUUAUGCGGGAGGAAUCCUGAGAAGUCACAGCAGCACAGAUAACUUCUCACAAUUUGUGACCCGUUCAAAAUGAAAAAUCAAAUCAGCAAAGUGAUUUCAAGUGUGGCAGUCAUAAAUUUUGUCUGGCGACUUCCCUAAACGGCCGACUUGGACAGCUAUAGCGAAACUAGUGAUGUUGGAUUUUUUAAAUUCAUCGUUCACCAACUAAUCAAAUAUUUUUCAGCUGUUCGUUAUUCGAUACGAUUAGUCCCCACAAUCCAAUCGACGAAAAAAACAUCGACCUAACAUUGGCAGAAUCGUUGUGACAUCUCCUGCCACUCCUUGACUAUAGGUGACUGGGCGAAAAUACGGAAUGAUCAACAAAACGAAAUGGCAUCACUUGUGGUUUUUUUCUUCCCCGUUCAAAUGUCAGCUCGUACAAAAACAAAUGGAUCAUACAAUUGUUGCUGGACACACAAAUACUGAGAGAGAGAGAGUGAAAUUAUUCCUCUCGCGAGCGAUAAACCUCUACGCUUCGUAUAUUAUGAACCUGUCCAUAUCCCCCCAAUACAUGUCCAUUAUACCCGCAUCGAUAAAAAAAGUUGUACUUUUCGGCUUGUUUGAAUUUCAGUGUAAAACAUGGAAAAACACAUUAUUAUAAAACAUUUGGCCAGUUAUUUCGAAAACCAGUAUAUUGAACUGUAAGA